AGAGUUUGAUCAUGGCUCAGGAUGAACGCUGGCGGUGCGCCUAACACAUGCAAGUCGAACGAAGGAUUGUGAAGGAACUUUACGGAGGGAAAACAUACUGACUGAGUGGCGGACGGGUGAGUAACGCGUAGGGAACCUGGCCCUUACAGGGGGAUAACAGAUGGAAACAACUGCUAAUACCGCAUAAGCGCCCAGCCUCGCAUGAGGCAGAGUGAAAAACUAAGGUGGUAAGGGAUGGCCCUGCGUCCGAUUAGCUAGUUGGUAUGGUAACGGCAUACCAAGGCGACGAUCGGUAGCCGGCCUGAGAGGGUGGACGGCCACAUUGGGACUGAGACACGGCCCAAACUCCUACGGGAGGCAGCAGUGGGGGAUAUUGCACAAUGGGGGAAACCCUGAUGCAGCGACACCGCGUGGGUGAAGAAGCGCUUCGGCGUGUAAAGCCCUAUCAGUGGGGAAGAAAAAGGACGGUACCCAAAGAAGAAGCACCGGCUAAAUACGUGCCAGCCGCCGCGGUAAUAC
rnacentral:rRNA from 1 species